UCCCUGAGCCGGACUGGGACACCGCCACGCCCGAGCGCACACCCCAAGGCCGACCCGGGUUGAACCCAACGCCCUAGCCGACCCCAUGACCCCCCUGGAUGCCUAAGAGUUCCUAGGGUUCCCUACAGCCUCGCACGCCCCUUCUCGCUUCGCCACUGCUUCCAGAGCUCGGCCACUCGGGAUUUGGAUCUCAUUGUCGAGCUCCGUGUCCGCCGCCGUUCACCGGACGCUGCCGUCCCCUGGCCAGAGACGCAGCAGAGCAAGAGCAAUGAGCUCGUCCGCCGCCGCCGGAGCACUGCCGCCAUUCAUGAGCUCACCGUCACUGGUACAAUGCACCUCGCCGCCGUCCAACACCACCACCACCUCCGCCGCUCGAAGCCGCAUCCGCCCGCCCCUUCUACCUCGUCGGAGCACUGCCGGAGGGCCACCACAGCCAACGCCCAACCGCCGCCGCCGUUUCCCCCUGUUCUGAUUGUCCGGAGUGCGACGCGAGCUAUUGUCAGGAGUGUGACUUUCUGAACCAGAACCAAGGCAAGUUACAUGUUGACCAUCCUUUACCUAUUGUAUUCUAUGCAUGGAGUUAUAUCACACUAUGAAUAUAUGCAUGUAUAGGAUUAUUAUAUUAUUAUGCUAUAUUAUUGAGCUAUAUCCUGUCAUUGCAGAUCGUGGUAGUUGUAGUUUUGCUAUGCUUUGUAGACGGGGUGGUUCGAGUAUUCAUUGAGCUUGUGUGAGGAUUAUAUAUUUAAUAAAUUGAGUGGUAACUAAGGAUUUAACUCACCUCUGGGCGGAAGUGGUAUUGCUUGGUAUUGA